GAAGAUGAUGGUCCACAAGAUGGUGAACUAUGGUUUGAUUGAAUCCUCUUCACUUGAGAAUCCGCUUUCCUAGGCAUUUAUGAUUUCGGGGCUCAGUCCAUUAUCUGUGAUGUUGAAAAGGGAAAUGGACUCUAUGCGGAUGCAAAUUUGGAUGAGUAUGAGAAAAUACUAUAAGAGUAAAUGGGAUGCUUAAAGAUUCCAUGAUCCCAGAUUUUAAUUUGCUUUGAAUGAAGGAAUGUGAUCAUGGACCUUUUAAAUCUGCAUUCUUGUUGAUAGAUGAAAUGGAUAGAUGGAAGAACUAUCUCUGUUCUUCUUCUUAGCAUUAGUGAAGCGGCUUUGUGCAUCCUGAUCCCAUAUCUGGGCUUCCAGCUGUAAUGCCAAAUUUGGCUAAUCAACUAGGUGAUGAAGUUCUUAAUUUGCUUGUCCAAGCAUACUGCAAGGGUGGAUUGACAUACAAAGGGAGGAUAAUUUUUAAUGAAAUGCUUCUGAGGGAUAUAACAAUUGAAAAUGGCAAAUACACUGCUCCAAUGGUGGGAUUAGGUAAGAGAGGAAAUUAUCAGGAUU
rnacentral:misc_RNA from 1 species